rnacentral:lncRNA from 10 species
CAGAAACCCAUGCAGAGACCCUGAUUGAAGCAACCAAUUGAACAGAGCAGCACUGUGGAAACUGUAAGUUAAUGCACUGCUCCAGCACAGGAAGAGAUUUGCUUCAGAAUUGCAGACCUGCUUCCUCCAUGUCAGAAAUGAAGAAGGAAUCUGCACGUUCAGACAAAAUAGACCUACUGCCCUCUAGAUACUUCCUUCAGCCUCUCAACUUAAGAUAAACUUUUGUGUCUUCAUUCUUAUCAUUUUUGUACCAAGAAAUACUGGACAUCCUUCAUCUCCAGCAGAUUAUAUUUCCAUCUGGCUCUGUCUGUCCUCUUUUAUGACUAGUCUCUUGAAAGUUUUUCUAAUUCAUCUAUGAACUCAAGGUCAAUCAUCAGUGAAAGCCUAGUCAUUAGAGAAACUUUAAUGUCAACCACUUCUGUAGACAUUCUUUUUGCGUUUUGCUCUAACAGGAAUCUGACUCUCUCCUGUGGACUCCGUUCCUUGAAAUCCAAAACUUAAAGUAUAAUAAUAAUAAAAUUAAAAAAAAAAGAAAGAAAUCAAGUCAAGCAGAAAUUGAGUUGAUUCUUCUAUCCCUUGUAUCUCUCAGCUUGGAGAAGUCCUUUUUACUCCACAUUGUCAUUCACAAACAACUGAUUAAAAGAGGGACAACAUGGUUUCACUGAGCAAACAUAGCCC